UGGGGAAUAUUGCACAAUGGGCGAAAGCCUGAUGCAGCAACGCCGCGUGAGUGAUGAAGGUCUUCGGAUUGUAAAGCUCUGUCUUUUGGGACGAUAAUGACGGUACCAAGGGAGGAAGCCACGGCUAACUACGUGCCAGCAGCCGCGGUAAUACGUAGGUGGCGAGCGUUGUCCGGAUUUACUGGGCGUAAAGGGUGCGUAGGCGGAUGUUUAAGUGAGAUGUGAAAUACCCGGGCUUAACUUGGGUGCUGCAUUUC
rnacentral:rRNA from 1 species